CAGCACACGCCCGCUAACAUUUUGCCCCUUUGGCGGUGUUUGCAGCCGCCCCUGGCCAUCAUUUCCUCAUUUAUUUAUCCAUCCUUCCAUCCAGCUAUCCAUCCAGCCAUCCAUCCAUGUAGCCACCCCUGCGACUUUGACAGCUCGAGGGUGCCUUUUUCGGUUGGGUGGACAAAACCCUGUGCGCCCUUUCGCGAAAUUAAUAUCAUGUACAAACAAAAACAACUGAGACAAAGUACUUAUCAUCGCGGGCAAACCAGGCGACCAAAAAGAGGCAUACUUUUUGGAGUGGCCGAAGAGGUGUUAAGGGUGAAAAGGGUUAACCCCAGCUCUCUGCGGCAAGAACUAUCUGUGUUAGUUACACCUAGAAGUACCAUAUAAAAUAGAAUGAAAUUCUUAUGAAAAUGAUUAACUUAACUGAAUAUAUUGCUCUCCAUAUUGCA